UCUUACAAAACACAGAAAAGAUUAGGUGAAGUUGCUGAAAUAUUUAUGUUUGAAAGAUCUUUGCAGGAGAAGCUGAGAGUUAAAGAGCUUGAACAUAAUCCAGAGGACAUAAAAUUCAUACAACAUUACAACGAUGGAUGAAUGAGUUUUCAUGGUUGUCUGAACCAACUGGAAGGCUUGGUUAAUGCUAUGUAUGGCUGCCAGUGUUUAAUUUUGGGUCCUCUUCCUCCUUUGUAAAACAUCCAAAUCACACCCAGCAUGGUUUCAGACAGGUAUGACUGAUUUAAAGCACUCCUCAAAGUGAACUUUAUAACAUGAAUGAGCAAGGCAUUACAUGUAAAAUGUGCUUUACUGUUUUAGCUUUGCAAAUACAGAUAACGGCAUUUUAUGUCAAUUGUUUUAGAGCAUGGGUGUAAUAUAUGUUUUUAAAUCCCAUGUGAAGUUUUGUUUUACCUUCCUGGAGUAAAAGCCCCAAAUCUGUCUGAUACCCCACUGCACUACAGCCUGCUGACAUUACCAAGAAAUCCAUGGAAAGAAACAACAAGUAUUACACCAGUGAACUGAAAGCAAUGGCAUUCAAGAGCAGAUCUUUGCAAAAGAGGUUGCAAAUACAUGGAUUGAGAGAAGAUCUUUGCAGGAGAAGCUGGGAGCUAAAGAGCUUGGACAUAAUCUACCUGAUGAUGAAUAAAUAUGGCUAUUCAACUAGCUGUAUUUAGUUUAGCACACUGGUUUAAUAUCUGCUGUUGCACCUUAGCUAUGUGUUAAUUUUAUUUCAUACAAACUGUUUGGCAUUAAAGUCCAACACCUGAUCGGUCAAAACUAUCCAGAUUACUAAAGUACCAAAACAAUGCACUAAUCUGCUUCGUAUUUAACAUCUCAGAUAGUGGAAUCAGAAACAAACUCUCACAGAAUAGAGACAGAACGGUGUUACCUUAACUGACGUAACGUUCAGCUCAUCUUCUCCUUGUUGUUUACAUACGCAUUCACAUCUUUAUUUGAUUAAAGUUUAAACUACAAGCGUGAGGACAGAAACAUGAGCUCAUCCCCCACCUGCUGACUGAAUUGUUAUGUAUUGAAUUUCCAAUCUGGCUUCUUUGCUCUCGUACUGUGAUUUAAUGAUGUGAUGUAAAUGAGGUGUUGGAUUAAUGAUGGACUGAUGUCAUUAUUUGUGUGCUUUGACUUUUAGAGUAACACAAUCUUGUUACCUCACCCUUCAGCUGUUUCACCUUGUCCAUCACAGCCAUGGCUCUGUCAGCUUGACCAUAAAAGGCAUUUACUUCUAUGAAGGAGAAAUCUGGUUCUGAUUUUACUCGAGUUGUCUCUUUCUAUUUAAAGCACAUGUAAUCUGAUCUGGAGUGAUGUUUGCAAAGUAUUAAGUUUCACCUUGGCUCCUGAUAUAAGUUUUGAAUUUGCUCAAGUUGAUAGCCUCAAGAGCCAAAAUGUUGUAUAUUUGGAGGAUGUGCGGCAAAAUUCAGAAGAGAUGCAAGGUCAAAAACAUCUCAAAACCUCCCUGCAUAUUCAUCUUCAAAAAAAGCAUCAUUCAUGUGUUGAACAGUUCCCACCUGUUCUAACAAAAAGAGCUGGUCUAGACCAUGCUCAUAUUUAGAGAGACCCAACAUAAAGAUGGGAUAAGAUCAACCUACACGCAUCCCAUCUUCAACCACGAGUGAAACACUUUACAGCAUUUAUCAAGUUACAGAGAGAAAGAACUUUCUUUAGCAGGCUAAACCUCGAACAGAAUCAGACACAUGUUAGACAGUCAUCUGCCAAGUCUGAGCUGGAUUUAGAGAGGAGAGAGAGAGAGAGAGAGAGAGAGAGAUGGAGAAAUACAGAGAUGAUUUGAUGCACAUAGUUGAAGCAACAGGUCCACAGCAGCACGAUUUUUGCAGCAGCAAUCCAGAGAAAUCUACAGCAUGAUGGAGCUCAGGGACUCCCAGAAAAGACUGUAUUAGUGACUCUAAAAGGACAGGGUGUUGUGGUAUGUUUUGUUUAUUUAGUUUUCUCCUUAUGUUGUUUUUUUGAGUGUUUUUUCUGUGUAUUUUCCCUAGUGUUUCUGUUCCCUAUUGUUCAUGUUCCCCUGUAGUCUUGUCCAGUGAGUUUUCAGUUUGUGUCUCACCCCAUUUCCCUCAUGUUCUCAGUGUUUCAUUCUGUUGAUCGUUUUCAUUUCUCCCUGUUUAAUUUUAUAUUAGUCUCUCUCUUUGUGUGUACAGUCUUGUUUUACCCCCUCAGUUUUCCCUCCUUGGUAAUUGUCUACACCUGUGUCUCACCUGCCUCUUGUUGCUUGUUUCCCUGUGUUUAUAUAGUCCCUGUCUUCCCCUGUUUCCUGGUUGGUUUAUUGUAUGUCAAUGUGUGUGUCAGCAUAUCAUUGUCUUCCCAGUGAGUCUCCAGUGAUUUUUGGGUCUUUGGACUUUGCCUCUUGUGUUUUUUUUGUUGUUGUUGUUUAUGCCUUUGGGAAUUUUUCAGUUGGUUUUUGUUGCCUUUCAUUUAGUUCAUUUCAAAUAAAUCUUUUUUUGUUCUGCAUUUUGGGUCCUUUCCCCUUUUGCUUAACUCCUAACC